AGAGUUUGAUCCUGGCUCAGAUUGAACGCUGGCGGCAUGCUUUACACAUGCAAGUCGGACGGCAGCACAGAGAAGCUUGCUUCUUGGGUGGCGAGUGGCGAACGGGUGAGUGAUAUAUCGGAACGUACCGAGUAAUGGGGGAUAACUAAUCGAAAGAUUAGCUAAUACCGCAUAUUCUCUGAGGAGGAAAGCAGGGGACCUUCGGGCCUUGCGUUAUUCGAGCGGCCGAUAUCUGAUUAGCUAGUUGGUGGGGUAAAGGCCUACCAAGGCGACGAUCAGUAGCGGGUCUGAGAGGAUGAUCCGCCACACUGGGACUGAGACACGGCCCAGACUCCUACGGGAGGCAGCAGUGGGGAAUUUUGGACAAUGGGCGCAAGCCUGAUCCAGCCAUGCCGCGUGUCUGAAGAAGGCCUUCGGGUUGUAAAGGACUUUUGUCAGGGAAGAAAAGGCUGUUGCUAAUAUCGACAGCUGAUGACGGUACCUGAAGAAUAAGCACCGGCUAACUACGUGCCAGCAGCCGCGGUAAUACGUAGGGUGCGAGCGUUAAUCGGAAUUACUGGGCGUAAAGCGAGCGCAGACGGUUACUUAAGCAGGAUGUGAAAUCCCCGGGCUCAACCUGGGAACUGCGUUCUGAACUGGGUGACUAGAGUGUGUCAGAGGGAGGUAGAAUUCCACGUGUAGCAGUGAAAUGCGUAGAGAUGUGGAGGAAUACCGAUGGCGAAGGCAGCCUCCUGGGAUAACACUGACGUUCAUGCUCGAAAGCGUGGGUAGCAAACAAGAUUAGAUACCCUGGUAGUCCACGCCCUAAA
rnacentral:rRNA from 1 species